rnacentral:tRNA from 1 species
CUAUCAGAAGAUAGUUUAAUUUAGAAUUCUGGCUUUGGGAGCCAGGGGUGGGAGUUAAACUCUCCCUUUUCUGGG